rnacentral:rRNA from 1 species
UGCGUAGGCGGAAUAUUAAGUCAGUGGUGAAAUCCUGCGGCUCAACCGUAGAACUGCCAUUGAUACUGAUAUUCUUGAAUGUAGUUGAGGUAGGCGGAAUGUGUAAUGUAGCGGUGAAAUGCUUAGAUAUUACACAGAACACCGAUUGCGAAGGCAGCUUACUAAACUAUGAUUGACGCUGAGGCACGAAAGCGUGGGGAGCGAACAGGAUUAGCUACCCUGGUAGUCC